ACGCACGCUGGCGGCAUGCCUAACACGUGCAAGUCGAACGAGACCUUCGGGUCUAGUGGCGCACGGGUGCGUAACGCGUGGGAACCUGCCCUUAGGUUCGGAAUAACUCCCCGAAAGGGGUGCUAAUACCGGAUAAUGUCUUCGGACCAAAGAUUUAUCGCCUUUGGAUGGGCCCGCGUUGGAUUAGCUAGUUGGUAGGGUAAAAGCCUACCAAGGCGACGAUCCAUAGCUGGUCUGAGAGGAUGAUCAGCCACACUGGGACUGAGACACGGCCCAGACUCCUACGGGAGGCAGCAGUGGGGAAUAUUGGACAAUGGGCGAAAGCCUGAUCCAGCAAUGCCGCGUGAGUGAUGAAGGCCUUAGGGUUGUAAAGCUCUUUUACCCGGGAUGAUAAUGACAGUACCGGGAGAAUAAGCUCCGGCUAACUCCGUG
rnacentral:rRNA from 1 species